rnacentral:tRNA from 1 species
GAUAGGAUGGCUCAGUGGUGGAGCGUCUGUUUGGCAUGGCAGAAGGUUAUGGGUUCAAUUCCUGGCAUCUCUAGUAAGGAUCA